UAGUUUCUCUUUGUUGCAAAA
rnacentral:piRNA from 1 species